GAUGAACGCUGGCGGCGUGCCUAAUACAUGCAAGUCGAGCGAACGGACGAGAAGCUUGCUUCUCUGAUGUUAGCGGCGGACGGGUGAGUAACACGUGGAUAACCUACCUAUAAGACUGGGAUAACUUCGGGAAACCGGAGCUAAUACCGGAUAAUAUUUUGAACCGCAUGGUUCAAAAGUGAAAGACGGUCUUGCUGUCACUUAUAGAUGGAUCCGCGCUGCAUUAGCUAGUUGGUAAGGUAACGGCUUACCAAGGCAACGAUGCAUAGCCGACCUGAGAGGGUGAUCGGCCACACUGGAACUGAGACACGGUCCCGACUCCUACGGGAGGCAGCAGUAGGGAAUCUUCCGCAAUGGGCGAAAGCCUGACGGAGCAACGCCGCGUGAGUGAUGAAGGUCUUCGGAUCGUAAAACUCUGUUAUUAGGGAAGAACAUAUGUGUAAGUAACUGUGCACAUCUUGACGGUACCUAAUCAGAAAGCCACGGCUAACUACGUG
rnacentral:rRNA from 1 species